rnacentral:rRNA from 1 species
UACAGAGACCUCAAGCGUUAUCCGGAUUAAUUGGGCGUAAAGGGUCCGCAGGUGGUAUGAUACGUCUUCUGUCAAAUGGUAAGGCUCAACCUUGCCACCGCAGGGGAUACGAUCAAACUAGAGACUGGGAGAGGCAAGCGGAAUUACCGGUGUAGUAGUAAAAUGCGUUAAUAUCGGUAAGAACACCAAAAGCGAAGGCAGCUUGCUAGAACAGUUCUGACACUCAGGGACGAAAGCGUGGGUAGCGAAAGGG